UACGAAGGGGGCUAGCGUUGUUCGGAAUCACUGGGCGUAAAGCGCGCGUAGGCGGAUUGUUAAGUCGGGGGGUGAAAUCCCGAGGCUCAACCUCGGAACUGCCUUCGAUACUGGCGAUCUUGAGUCCGGGGAGAGGUGAGUGGAACUCCUAGUGUAGAGGUGAAAUUCGUAGAUAUUAGGAAGAACACCAGUGGCGAAGGCGGCUCACUGGCCCGGUACUGACGCUGAUGUGCGAAAGCGUGGGGAGCAAACAGG
rnacentral:rRNA from 1 species